rnacentral:rRNA from 1 species
AGUGAACGCUGGCGGUAGGCCUAACACAUGCAAGUCGAACGGCAGCACAGUAAGAGCCUGCUCUUACGGGUGGCGAGUGGCGGACGGGUGAGGAAUACAUCGGAAUCUACUUUUUCGUGGGGGAUAACGUAGGGAAACUUACGCUAAUACCGCAUACGACCUACGGGUGAAAGCAGGGGAUCUUCGGACCUUGCGCGUUUGAAUGAGCCGAUGUCGGAUUAGCUAGUUGGCGGGGUAAAGGCCCACCAAGGCGACGAUCCGUAGCUGGUCUGAGAGGAUGAUCAGCCACACUGGAACUGAGACACGGUCCAGACUCCUACGGGAGGCAGCAGUGGGGAAUAUUGGACAAAGGGCGCAAGCCUGAUCCAGCCAUACCGCGUGGGUGAAGAAGGCCUUCGGGUUGUAAAGCCCUUUUGUUGGGAAAGAAAAGCAGCAGGUUAAUACCCCGCUGUUCUGACGGUACCCAAAGAAUAAGCACCGGCUAACUUCGUG